rnacentral:rRNA from 1 species
UGCCUAAUACAUGCAAGUCGAGCGGAUCGAUGGGAGCUUGCUCCCUGAGAUCAGCGGCGGACGGGUGAGUAACACGUGGGUAACCUGCCUGUAAGACUGGGAUAACUCCGGGAAACCGGGGCUAAUACCGGAUAAUUUAGUUCCUCGCAUGAGGAACUGUUGAAAGGUGGCUUCGGCUACCACUUACAGAUGGACCCGCGGCGCAUUAGCUAGUUGGUGAGGUAACGGCUCACCAAGGCAACGAUGCGUAGCCGACCUGAGAGGGUGAUCGGCCACACUGGGACUGAGACACGGCCCAGACUCCUACGGGAGGCAGCAGUAGGGAAUCUUCCGCAAUGGACGAAAGUCUGACGGAGCAACGCCGCGUGAGUGAAGAAGGUUUUCGGAUCGUAAAACUCCUGUUGUUAGGGAAGAACAAGUGCCGUUCGAAUAGGGCGGCACC